AGUGAACGCUGGCGGUAGGCCUAACACAUGCAAGUCGAACGGCAGCACAGUAAGAGCUUGCUCUUACGGGUGGCGAGUGGCGGACGGGUGAGGAAUACAUCGGAAUCUACUUUUUCGUGGGGGAUAACGUAGGGAAACUUACGCUAAUACCGCAUACGACCUACGGGUGAAAGCUGGGGAUCUUCGGACCUUGCGCGAUUGAAUGAGCCGAUGUCGGAUUAGCUAGUUGGCGGGGUAAAGGCCCACCAAGGCGACGAUCCGUAGCUGGUCUGAGAGGAUGAUCAGCCACACUGGAACCGAGACACGGUCCAGACUCCUACGGGAGGCAGCAGUGGGGAAUAUUGGACAAUGGGCGCAAGCCUGAUCCAGCCAUACCGCGUGGGUGAAGAAGGCCUUCGGGUUGUAAAGCCCUUUUGUUGGGAAAGAAAAGCAGCAGGUUAAUACCCCGCUGUUCUGACGGUACCCAAAGAAUAAGCACCGGCUAACUUCGUG
rnacentral:rRNA from 1 species